CAACCUCAACUCAUAUGGGACUACCCCCUGAAUUUAAGCAUAUUAAUUAGGGGAGGAAAAUAAACUAACCAGGAUUUUCUUAGUAGCGGCGAGCGAAAAGAAAUCUGUUCAGCACUAAGUCACUUUGUCUAUAUGGCAAACGUGAGAUGCAGUGUAUGGAGCGUCAAUAUUCUAGUAUGAGAAAUUAACGAUUUAAGUCCUUCUUAAAUGAGGCCAUUUAUCCAUAGAGGGUGCCAGGCCCGUGUAACGUUAAUGAUUACUAGAUGAUGUUUCCAAAGAGUCGUGUUGCUUGAUAGUGCAGCACUAAGUGGGUGGUAAACUCCAUCUAAAACUAAAUAUAACCAUGAGACCGAUAGUAAACAAGUACCGUGAGGGAAAGUUGAAAAGAACUCUGAAUAGAGAGUUAAACAGUACGUGAAACUGCUUAGAGGUUAAGCCCGAUGAACCUGAAUAUCCGUUAUGGAAAAUUCAUCAUUAAAGUUGUAAUAUUUUAACAAUAUUAUAAUAAUAGUGUGCAUUUUUUCCAUAUAAGGACAUUGUAAUCUAUUAGCAUAUAACAAUUUUAUAAUAAAAUAUGACUUAUAGUUUAUUCAAAUUAUUAUGCUUGCAUUUUAACAUAGAAUAAAUGUCAUUAAUUUGAUAAAGUGUUGAUAAAUUAAAAUUAAUACAGUGCGUUAAUUUUUCGAAAUUAUAUAAUGGCAUAAUUAUCAUUGAUUUUUGUGUUUAUUGUAUGCAUUUGUAUGAUUAACAAUGCGAAAGAUUCAGGAUACCUUCGAGACCCGUCUUGAAACACGGACCAAAGGAGUCUAACAUAUGUACAAGUUAUUGGGAGAUAAAACUAAUAGCGUAAAUAACUUGACUAAUAAUGGUAUUAGUUUUUUUUUACUAUUUAUAGAUAAUUUACACAAUCCUGGGGCGUUCUAUAUAGUUAUGUAUAAUAAUAUUUAUAGUAUUUAUGCCUCUAACUGGAACGUACCUUGAGCCUAUAUGAUGUGACCCGAAAGAUGGUGAACUAUACUUGUUCAGGUUGAAGUCAGGGGAAACCCUGAUGGAAGACCGAAACAGUUCUGACGUGCAAAUCGAUUGUCAGAAUUGAGUAUAGGGGCGAAAGACCAAUCGAACCAUCUAGUAGCUGGUUCCUUUCGAAGUUUCCCUCAGGACAGCUGGUGCAUUUUAAUGUUAUAUAAAAUAAUCUUAUCUGGUAAAGCGAAUGAUUAGAGGCCUUAGGGUCGAAACGAUCUUAACCUAUUCUCAAACUUUAAAUGGGUAAGAACCUUAACUUUCUCGAUAUGAAGUUUAAGGUUAUGAUAUAAUGUGCCCAGUGGGCCACUUUUGGUAAGCAGAACUGGCGCUGUGGGAUGAAUCAAACGUAAUGUUACGGUGCCCAAAUUAACAACUCAUGCAAAAACCAUGAAAGGCGUUGGUUGCUUAAAACAGCAGGACGGUGAUCAUGGAAGUCGAAAUCCGCUAAAGAGUGUGUAACAACUCACCUGCCGAAGCAACUAGCCCUUAAAAUGGAUGGCGCUUAAGUUGUAUAAAUAUACAUUACCGCUAAAGUAGAUGAUUUAUAUUACUCGUGAUAUAAAUUUUGAAACUUUAGUGAGUAGGAAGGUACAAUGGUAUUUAUUUAUUUAUUAAAUUAACAAAUUAUCUGUUAAUAAUGGUACUUGGUUACUAAAUGCGGA
rfam:Drosophila pseudoobscura pseudoobscura strain MV2-25 unplaced genomic scaffold Tnknown_group_232, whole genome shotgun sequence.